ACAUCCGCAUCCUUUGCUGAGGAUACGGUUAACGGAGCGAAAGCGACGUUCAACCGCAAAACAAGCAGAGGGGGCUUAGUGGUGGGGUGACUGCGUACCUUUUGUAUAAUGGGUCAGCGACUUAUAUUCUGUAGCAAGGUUAACCGAAUAGGGGAGCCGGAGGGAAACCGAGUCUUAAUUGGGCGUUAAGUUGCAGGGUAUAGACCCGAAACCCGGUGAUCUAGCCAUGGGCAGGUUGAAGGUUGGGUAACACUAACUGGAGGACCGAACCGACUAAUGUUGAAAAAUUAGCGGAUGACCUGUGGCUGGGGGUGAAAGGCCAAUCAAACCGGGAGAUAGCUGGUUCUCCCCGAAAGCUAUUUAGGUAGCGCCUCGUGAAUUCAUCUCCGGGGGUAGAGCACUGUUUCGGCUAGGGGGCCAUCCCGGCUUACCAACCCGAUGCAAACUGCGAAUACCGGAGAAUGUUAUCACGGGAGACACACGGCGGGUGCUAACGUCCGUCGUGAAGAGGGAAACAACCCAGACCGCCAGCUAAGGUCCCAAAGUCAUGGUUAAGUGGGAAACGAUGUGGGAAGGCCCAGACAGCCAGGAUGUUGGCUUAGAAGCAGCCAUCAUUUAAAGAAAGCGUAAUAGCUCACUGGUCGAGUCGGCCUGCGCGGAAGAUGUAACGGGGCUAAACCAUGCACCGAAGCUGCGGCAGCGAACGUAUCACCCAAGACAACUUUACGGAGUUGACGAUUGACGGAGCGAAGCGACGUCAAAGCGUUCAUUAAAGUCGAGUUGGCUUAGGGAUACGUUCGUUGGGUAGGGGAGCGUUCUGUAAGCCUGUGAAGGUGUGUCGUGAGGCAUGCUGGAGGUAUCAGAAGUGCGAAUGCUGACAUAAGUAACGAUAAAGCGGGUGAAAAGCCCGCUCGCCGGAAGACCAAGGGUUCCUGUCCAACGUUAAUCGGGGCAGGGUGAGUCGACCCCUAAGGCGAGGCCGAAAGGCGUAGUCGAUGGGAAACGGGUUAAUAUUCCCGUACUUGGUGUUACUGCGAAGGGGGGACGGAGAAGGCUAUGUUGGCCGGGCGACGGUUGUCCCGGUUUAAGCGUGUAGGUGUGUGUUCCAGGUAAAUCCGGUUCACUUUAACACUGAGGCGUGACGACGAGGCACUACGGUGCUGAAGCAACAAAUGCCCUGCUUCCAGGAAAAGCCUCUAAGCAUCAGGUAACACGAAAUC
rnacentral:rRNA from 1 species